UGAACAAGUGUCUAUUUACCCCAGGAAGGAACCCACAACAGACCAAAGGAUUCCACCCAAGUUAAACUUGGCGAGCUGGUGAUUGUAUUGAGGUUAUUUAUAGAGGGCUCUUUUGUCUUAGUCUCCUGGCAUUAAAGGCCUAUACUACCUUGCCUGGACCUAAGUUUUUCAUAGCUACUAUGCUUCAAGAUCUCCACACCAACAUCCAGAUAUAGUCAAGUUGACCACCAGGAACAGCCAUUACAUCAACAGAAGAUCACGAUCCUUUUCCUCAGUGUCCUUGUUAACUUUUGUUGUUUGACUUUCAGACGACAGCCAUUCCCAAUGGAGGAGACCAGAGUUCAGUUCCCAGCCACACGGAGUUCCUAGCUUCAUGGACUGAACAACCACUCGUAACUCCAGUUCAAGGGGACCCAAUCUUCUGUACUCUGAGGAUACCA